rnacentral:ncRNA from 1 species
UAAAAGGCUGAGAUGAAGAGAGUACGUGUUGCUUUCGCUGCAGAGAGCCGGUGGUGGGUGAAAACCGGUGUGAAAGGGGCACGGAAGUUCACUUCGGAGCUGUUGGGUGAACACCUGCUUAGCAGGUUUGAGUAGCCUAAACCGGAAAUCAACCAAAUUUCCGUUAUAACAAUGAAGUGAAGGGCUUUGCGCCUGGAAUUAGGGUGGUACCGCGAGUAACCCUCGUCCCUAUA